GGGGGGCCUAACAUGCAGUCGAGCGGGAGCAGGACACGGAAUUUUUCGGAAGGAAGUGUGUUUGCUUUAGCGGCGGACGGUUGAGUAACGCGUGGAUAACCUGCCUCAUACAGGGGGAUAACAGUUAGAAAUGACUGCUAAUACCGCAUAAGCACCCGGGAGCGCAUGCUCCUGAGUGAAAAGCUCCGGCGGUAUGAGAUGGAUCCGCGUCUGAUUAGCUGGUUGGCGGGGUAACGGCCCACCAAGGCGACGAUCAGUAGCCGACCUGAGAGGGUAGCCGGCCACAUUGGGACCGAGACACGGCCCAAACUCCUACGGGAGGCAGCAGUGGGGAAUAUUGCACAAUGGGGGAAACCCUGAUGCAGCAACGCCGCGUGGGUGAAGAAGUAUUUCGGUAUGUAAAGCCCUAUCAGCAGGGAAGAGAAUGACGGUACCUGACUAAGAAGCCCCGGCUAACUACGUGCCAGCAGCCGCGGUAAUACGUAGGGGGCAAGCGUUAUCCGGAUUUACUGGGUGUAAAGGGAGCGUAGACGGUUGUGCAAGUCUGAAGUGAAAGCCCGCGGCUCAACUGCGGAACGGCUUUGGAAACUGUGUAGCUGGAGUGCUGGAGAGGUAAGCGGAAUUCCUGGUGUAGCGGUGAAAUGCGUAGAGAUCAGGAGGAACACCGGCGGCGAAGGCGGCUUACUGGACAGUAACUGACGUUGAGGCUCGAAAGCGUGGGGAGCAAACAGGAUUAGAUACCCUGGUAGU
rnacentral:rRNA from 1 species